rnacentral:rRNA from 1 species
AGAGUUUGAUCAUGGCUCAGGACGAACGCUGGCGGCGUGCCUAAUACAUGCAAGUCGAGCGGACGGAUGGGAGCUUGCUCCCUGAAGUCAGCGGCGGACGGGUGAGUAACACGUGGGCAACCUGCCUGUAAGACUGGGAUAACUCCGGGAAACCGGGGCUAAUACCGGAUAACUCUUUUCCUCACAUGAGGAAAAGCUGAAAGAUGGUUUCGGCUAUCACUUACAGAUGGGCCCGCGGCGCAUUAGCUAGUUGGUGAGGUAACGGCUCACCAAGGCCACGAUGCGUAGCCGACCUGAGAGGGUGAUCGGCCACACUGGGACUGAGACACGGCCCAGACUCCUACGGGAGGCAGCAGUAGGGAAUCUUCCGCAAUGGACGAAAGUCUGACGGAGCAACGCCGCGUGAGUGAUGAAGGUUUUCGGAUCGUAAAACUCUGUUGUCAGGGAAGAACAAGUACCGGAGUAACUGCCGGUACCUUGACGGUACCUGACCAGAAAGCCACGGCUAACUACGUGCCAGCAGCCGCGGUAAUACGUAGGUGGCAAGCGUUGUCCGGAAUUAUUGGGCGUAAAGCGCGCGCAGGCGGUUCCUUAAGUCUGAUGUGAAAGCCCCCGGCUCAACCGGGGGAGGGCUUGGAACUGGGA